AACGAACGCUGGCGGCAGGCUUAACACAUGCAAGUCGAACGCCCCGCAAGGGGAGUGGCAGACGGGUGAGUAACGCGUGGGAAUCUACCUAGUUCUACGGAACAACAGAGGGAAACUUCUGCUAAUACCGUAUAAGCCCUAAGGGUGAAAGAUUUUUCGGAAUUAGAUGAGCCCGCGUAAGAUUAGCUAGUUGGUGGGGUAAUGGCCUACCAAGGCGACGAUCUUUAGCCGGGCUGAGAGGAUGAUGAGCCACACUGGGACUGAGGCACGGCCCUGCCGCGUACUGAAGGAAGCAGUGGGGACUUUUGGACAUUCGGCGCAGGCCUGAUCCAGCGUGGCCGCGUGAGUCAUGAAGGCCUUAGGGUUGUAAAGCUCUUUCAGUGGGGCCGAUAACGACGGUACCCACAGACGAAGCCGCGGCUAACUUCCUGCCAGCCGCCGCCGUAAAAC
rnacentral:rRNA from 1 species